CCCCUACAUCAAUUGCAAGUCUUCUUUGCCACUACAUUGAUCAAUUUGAAUCUAGUGGUCACAAUUAAAUGACCUUUCAUACCGUCAAUCUCUCCCAUCAUUGAUCUCAAGUUGCAACGUAGUAUCUUCAUGAUCCCAAGAUUUCAUUCAUCAGUUAUUAAUUCUAACCUAUAGUUGCCAUAUGAUAAACAAGGAGGUACUUAGGCAAGGAAAAAACUUCUAUAGCCGAGCCUAUUAUGAAAAGAAUCAUGGUC
rnacentral:lncRNA from 1 species